AGGAGACCUGCGGAAGGAUCAUGA
rnacentral:rRNA from 1 species